AGAGUUUGAUCCUGGCUCAGGAUGAACGCUAGCGGCAGGCUUAAUACAUGCAAGUCGAACGGUAACAGGUCCAGCAAUGGAUGCUGACGAGUGGCGCACGGGUGAGUAACGCGUAUGCAACCUACCCUCAACUGGGGAAUAGCCCCGAGAAAUCGGGAUUAAUACCCCAUAAUAUCCAGUGACCGCAUGGUUAUUGGAUUAAAGUUCCGGCGGUUGAGGAUGGGCAUGCGUAACAUUAGCUAGUUGGUGAGGUAACGGCUCACCAAGGCUACGAUGUUUAGGGGUCCUGAGAGGGUGAUCCCCCACACUGGUACUGAGACACGGACCAGACUCCUACGGGAGGCAGCAGUAGGGAAUAUUGGGCAAUGGACGCAAGUCUGACCCAGCCAUGCCGCGUGCAGGAAUGACGGCCCUAUGGGUUGUAAACUGCUUUUCUGCAAGAAGAAACCCCCGUACGUGUACGGGGCUGACGGUAUUGUAGGAAUAAGCAUCGGCUAACUCCGUGCCAGCAGCCGCGGUAAUACGGAGGAUGCAAGCGUUAUCCGGAUUCAUUGGGUUUAAAGGGUGCGCAGGCGGAUUAGUAAGUCAGUGGUGAAAGCCUACAGCUUAACUGUAGAACUGCCUUUGAUACUGCUAAUCUUGAGUGUAGUUGAGGUAGGCGGAAUGUGUCAUGUAGCGGUGAAAUGCUUAGACAUGACACAGAACACCGACCGUGAAGACAGCUUACCAAGCUACAACUGACGCUCAUGCACGAGAGCGUGGGGAUCAAACAGGAUUAGAUACCCUGGUAGUCCACGCUGUAAACGAUGGACACUCGCUGUUGGCGAUACACAGCCAGCGGCUGAGCGAAAGUAUUAAGUGUCCCACCUGGGGAGUACGAUCGCAAGGUUGAAACUCAAAGGAAUUGACGGGGGCCCGCACAAGCGGAGGAGCAUGUGGUUUAAUUCGAUGAUACGCGAGGAACCUUACCUAGGUUUGAAUGUUGGCUGACCGCCCGGGAAACUGGGCUUUUCCUUCGGGACAGCUAACAAGGUGCUGCAUGGUUGUCGUCAGCUCGUGCCGUGAGGUGUCAGGUUAAGUCCUAUAACGAGCGCAACUCCUAUCCUUAGUUGCCAGCAUGUAAUGAUGGGGACUCUAGGGAAACUGCCUACGCAAGUAGUGAGGAAGGUGGGGAUGACGUCAAAUCAGCACGGCCCUUAUACCUAGGGCUACACACGUGCUACAAUGGCCGGUACAGAGGGCAGCUACACUGUGAAGUGAUGCAAAUCUCGAAAGCCGGUCUCAGUUCGGAUCGAAGUCUGCAACCCGACUUCGUGAAGUUGGAUUCGCUAGUAAUCGCGCAUCAGCAAUGGCGCGGUGAAUACGUUCCCGGGCCUUGUACACACCGCCCGUCGAGCCAUGGAAGCUGGGGGUGCCUGAAGUCCG
rnacentral:rRNA from 1 species